GAUGAACGCUGGCGGCGUGGAUAAGGCAUGCAAGUCGAGUGGGUUUAGACCCACGGCAGACGAGGUAGUAACACGUAGGUAUGUACCCUGAAGUCAAGCAUAACCCAUCGAAAGGUGGGAUAAUUCUUGAUAGUCUCUUCGGAGUAAAGUUUUAACGCUUUAGGAACAGCCUGCGGGAUAUCAGCUAGUUGGUAGGGUAAAGGCCUACCAAGGCAAUGACGUCUAGGGGAGCUGAGAGGCUGACCCCCACCGAUGGUACUGAGACACGGACCAUACACCUACGGGUGGCCGCAGUCGAGAAUCUUCCACAAUGGACGAAAGUCUGAUGGAGCGACGCCGCGUGAUUGAUGAAGUUCUUCGGAACGUAAAGAUCUUUUAUGAGGGAGGAAAUUUUGACGUUACCUCAUGAAUAAGGGGUUGCUAAACUCGUGCCAGCAGCAGCGGUAAUACGAGUGCCCCAAGCGUUAUCCGGAAUUACUGGGCGUAAAGGGUGUGUAGGCGGUUAUAUUAGUCUCUUGUUAAAGCCCCGGGCUUAACUCGGGAAUCCGCAAGAGAAACGGUAUAACUAGAGGAUGUGAGAGGUUUGCAGAACUCAUAGUGUAGGGGUGAAAUCCGUUGAUAUUAUGGGGAAUACCAAAUGCGAAGGCAGCAAACUAGCACAUUCCCUGACGCUGAAACACGAAAGCGUGGGUAGCGAAUGGGAUUAGAUACCCCAGUAGUCCACGCCCUAAACGAUCUUCUCUAGGUUUUCGGAGCAUCGACCCUCUGAGAGCUGAAGCUAACGCGUUAAGAGAAGCGCCUGGGUAGUACGGCCGCAAGGCUAAAACUCAAAGGAAUAGACGGGGACUCGCACAAGCAGUGGAUCAUGUGGUUUAAUUCGACGAUAAACGAAAAACCUCACCAAGGUUAGAAAUCAUACUGAACUCACUAAGAAACUAGUGGGGCCGCAAGGCAGUAUGACAGGUGAUGCAUGGCCGUCGUCAGUUCGUGGUUUGAAUUGUUCCCUUAAGUGGGGUAACGAACGCAACCCUCAUCGUGUGUUACAAGUGUCACGCGAGACUGCUCCCGCUUUUGUUCAUAAAGAAAUUUGUGACCAGGAGCGGGAGAGGAAGGUGAGGAUGACGCCAGGUCAGCAUGUCCCUUGAUACCUUGGGCUACACACAUGAUACAAUGGGUGGGACAACGAGAUGCCAAGGAGUAAUCCGGAGCAAACCUUAAUAAACCCAUCCCUAGUUCGGAUUGGGGUCUGAAACCCGACCCCAUGAAGCUGGAAUUGCUAGUAAUCGCGGAUCAGCAUGCCGCGGUGAAUACGUUCUCGAGUCUUGUACACACCGCC
rnacentral:rRNA from 1 species